rnacentral:rRNA from 1 species
CCUACGGGUGGCAGCAGUGGGGAAUAUUGCACAAUGGGGGAAACCCUGAUGCAGCGACGCCGCGUGAGUGAAGAAGUAUUUCGGUAUGUAAAGCUCUAUCAGCAGGGAAGAAAAUGACGGUACCUGAUUAUGAAGCCCCGGCUAACUACGUGCCAGCAGCCGCGGUAAUACGUAGGGGGCAAGCGUUAUCCGGAUUUACUGGGUGCAAAGGGAGCGUAGACGGCAGCACAAGUCUGGAGUGAAAGGCCGGGGCUUAACCCCGGAACUGCUUUAGAAACUGUGCAGCUAGAGUUCAGGAGAGGUAAGUGGAAUUCCUAGUGUAGCGGUGAGAUGCGUAGAUAUUAGGAGGAACACCAGUGACGGAGGCGGCUUACUGGACUGUAACUGGCGUUGAGGCUCGAAAGCGUGGGGAGCAAACGGGAUUAGAUACCCCGGUAGUA